AUGUGGGACACGUGGAUGGACAGCUUGGGGACAGGGACACGGGGGACACAUGGAAAACUUGGGGACAGGAGCACGUGGGGCACACAGACAGCUUGGGGACAAAGCUGUGUGGGACACACGGAUGUCUUGGGGACAGGGACACGGGACACAUGGACACCUUGGGGACAGGAUGACAUGGGACACGUAGGGCACAUGGAUGGACAGCUUGGGGACAGGGACACUCAAACCACGUGGGGACAAAACCACAUGGGAGCCACAGGUGGACAGCUUGGGGACAGGGACACAGGGGACACAUGGAAAACUUGGGGACAGGAGCACGUGGGGCACAUGGGCACCUUGGGGACAAAGCUGUGUGGGACACACAGAUGUCUUGGGGACAGGGACACAAGGGACACAUGGAUGGACAUCCUGGGGACAGGGACACGCAGACACCUUGGGGACAGGGUGACAUGGGACACGUGGGCAUCAUGGGGACAGGGAUGCGUGGGACACAUGGAUGGACAGCUUGGGGACAGGGACACGGGGGACACACAGACAUCUUGGGGACAAAACUAUGUGGGAUCCAUAGGUGGACGUCUUGGGGACAGGGACACGGGGGACACGUGGACACCUUGGGGACAGGAUGACAUGGGACACGUAGGGCAUCAUGGGGACACCUUGGGGACAGUGGCACAUGGGACACAUGGGUGGACAUCUUGGGGACAGGGACACUCAAACCACGUGGGGACAAAACCACAUGGGAGCCAUAGGUGGACAGCUUGGGGACAGGAACACAGGGGACACAUGGAAAACUUGGGGACAGGAGCAUGUGGGGCACGUGGGCACCUUGGGGACAAAGCUGUGUGGGACACACGGAUGUCUUGGGACACAAGGGACACAUGGAUGGACACCUUGGGGACAGGGACACACAGACACCUUGGGGACAGGGUGACAUGGGACACGUGGGCAUCAUGGGGACAGGGACAUGUGGGACACGUGGAUGGACAUCGUGGGGACAGGGACACAUGGGACACACAGACAUUGUGGGGACAGGGACACACAGACAUCUUGGGGACAAAACCAUGUGGGACCCAUAGGCGGACGUCUUGGGGACAGGGACACGGGGGACACGUGGACACAUUGGGGACAAAGCUGUGUGGGAAACAUGGAUGCCUUGGGGACAGGGACACAUGGGACACACGGAUGGACGUCCUGGGGACAGGGACACUCCAACAUCUUGGGGACAAAACCACGUGGGAGCCAUAG
rnacentral:lncRNA from 1 species